rnacentral:misc_RNA from 1 species
GGGGAUUAUAAUAGUUAACUGUAAUUCACGAAUCACAUUCUAAAUUGGCGCAUCAAUGAAGCCUACCCUUUGUGUACCCUAUAUCUAACCAAGUAGCGUACUGCGUACCUUAUGCCCAUACCUGUGCCACUAUCCAAGACAUACUGUAUUCCAAAUAACUGAAUAAAACCAUCAAAUGAGUACAAUAAAAAAGACAUUCCUUAUGCGCCUAAGAUGUAUGCCUAGGCACUCAUAAAAGGCACCUAAGUGAAUGCCUAGGCACAAAGCAUUGGGAAUGGUGCAUGGCCUAAGCCACUUCAGGCACUUGGCCUAAUGUCCGCAUGCAUCUGCAGCAUAGGCACACUUUUGAUGUUUAUGACCUUUGAGCUGCAUCAUUUACAAAGAUUGCAAGAACAAAACUGGAAAUAAUCUUUUAAAUAAAAGCUUAUGGUGUGCAUGCAGCAUACAUUUAAAGACAACAAAUCUUAUACGUAAUAAAGGAUCUUACCAUUACUUCCCUUCUAAAGGAUAAAAAUGGUUACAGAAACUGAAAAGACUAGCUUGAGAGGUUUCUAAUAACAUCCUCGUGUUCUGCUAUGAGGACAACCUAAUUAUCAAAUACUUCACUGUCCAUUAGUAGCAAAUGCAAAAACAAAAUAAAAAAAUAGUUUGAAAUGAAACUCUCUGAUGACUAGAACAUACAAUAGGUUGAAAUGAAUCUCACUAAUGAGUAGAAUAUAUAAUCGAACACCUUAAACCCUGAUGCAUCAUAGCUUAGGAAAAAUUCACACUCACACAGAAACAUAGAGUUUUAGUUUUAAGAGAAAAUAAUAUGGAAAAAUCUGAACUGAAAUACAUGAAAAUAAGGGGUAUUUAUUCAGUUUUUUAUGCUCCUAAACUAACUAGGAAUAUAUACCUACUAUUUGUGAAUUUUAGCUAAACUAAAAUACAAUAGGAAAAUAUAGAUAAAAUAGGAAUUAAUCUAACCCUAGAUAGAAUAGGAAAACAAAUCAAGUCCCAUUAAGAACAGGAAAGUAUCUUAAACUAAUUCUGCAGUCAAAUUAUGGCAAAACAAGAAGUCCUGCAUGACUUAAGACUGCUGGAGACGAAAUUAACCCAGGAAAAAAAAAAAUGCAUCCUCACACUGCUGGACCGA